rnacentral:rRNA from 1 species
AUUGAACGCUGGCGGCAUGCCUUACACAUGCAAGUCGAACGGCAGCACGGGAGCAAUCCUGGUGGCGAGUGGCGAACGGGUGAGUAAUAUAUCGGAACGUGCCCAGUCGUGGGGAUAACGUAGCGAAAGCUACGCUAAUACCGCAUACGAUCUAUGGAUGAAAGCGGGGGAUCGCAAGACCUCGCGCGAUUGGAGCGGCCGAUAUCAGAUUAGGUAGUUGGUGAGGUAAAGGCUCACCAAGCCGACGAUCUGUAGCUGGUCUGAGAGGACGACCAGCCACACUGGGACUGAGACACGGCCCAGACUCCUACGGGAGGCAGCAGUGGGGAAUUUUGGACGAAUGGCGCAAGCCUGAUCCAGCAAUGCCGCGUGCAGGAUGAAGG